UACGUAGGGAGCAAGCGUUGUCCGGAAUCAUUGGGCGUAAAGCGCGCGUAGGUGGCCCGGUAAGUCCGCUCUGAAAGUCAAAGGCUCAACCUUUGAAAGCGGGUGGAUACUGCCAGGCUAGAGUCCGGAAGAGGCGAGUGGAAUUCCUGGUGUAGCGGUGGAAUGCGCAGAUAUCUGGAGGAAUACCGGUGGCGAAGGCGGCAUCCUGGACCGGCAUUGACGCUGAGGAGCGAAAGCCAGGGGAGCAAACAGG
rnacentral:rRNA from 1 species